AUUGUCAACUCAGGGCUCACAGCUCAGAUUUAGCAACAUUCUGACAUAAAGGUGAAUGUUUAACCAAAUCCUAUCUUACCAAAGCUAACAGUUCACCUCAGCCUUCUGGAAGACUCCAAUGCAAAAUGGCCACCAUUGGAAAAGAUCCUUCGAAAGAUUAAGUGUCAAUUACUUAAAAAUCCAUUUAAAAAAAUAACCUUUUCUUGGCAUAAUUAAGUAUUACCUGUUUUCUAGAGGCUUUCCUCCUUCCUAUUUAAAACAUACUUCCUAAAGGGAGGAGGGACGUGACCAAGUAAUCAAUUCCUAUCACAUUGGCCUCAGGUAAAUCCUUCAACGCCAUCAGAGAAGCAUAUCCAAUCAGAUUAGAUUUCUCAUCCUCGGCCAAGAAUUCCAUUCAGCUCUUUAAUAAUUCAAGGCAAAAUUCCCUCCAUUUGGUCCAUACCUGAACUUCAUCAGCAUCUUGAACUGGACUGAGCCUGAGGAAGGUGAGAAGAACAACGAUUCCUUGCUCUAGGGGAAGCAGGCUGCCAUGUUGUGAGCUGCUUUAUGGAGAGACCCACUUGGCAAGGAAUAGACAUCUUAAGCUAUUAGCCAACAAGGAUCUGAGGCCUGCCAACAGCCACAUGAGCAAGUUUGAAAGUGAAGCCUCCCACAUCAUACCUCAGGAAGACUCCAGCUCUAUCCAACAUCUUGAUGGCAACCCUAUGGGAGACCAGGAGCCAGAGGCAUCCAGCACACACCCAGCAUGGAGCCCAACGUGGGGCUUGAACUCAUGACCCUGAGAUUGAAA